rnacentral:misc_RNA from 1 species
UGGUGGAAGAGUAAAAAAGGAGCUGUGAAGAAAUGAAUCCGCAUUUCUUCACAGCUCCUUUUUCUGUCAGCGGUCAACAGUCAGCUGUCAGCUGACCGUUGACGGGUCUGUUGCCCAUAGCAACAGACCCCUUUAUCA